GAACGCUGGCGGCGUGCCUAAUACAUGCAAGUCGAGCGAACAGACGAGGAGCUUGCUCCUCUGACGUUAGCGGCGGACGGGUGAGUAACACGUGGAUAACCUACCUAUAAGACUGGGAUAACUUCGGGAAACCGGAGCUAAUACCGGAUAACAUGUUGAACCGCAUGGUUCAACAGUGAAAGACGGUCUUGCUGUCACUUAUAGAUGGAUCCGCGCCGCAUUAGCUAGUUGGUAAGGUAACGGCUUACCAAGGCAACGAUGCGUAGCCGACCUGAGAGGGUGAUCGGCCACACUGGAACUGAGACACGGUCCAGACUCCUACGGGAGGCAGCAGUAGGGAAUCUUCCGCAAUGGGCGAAAGCCUGACGGAGCAACGCCGCGUGAGUGAAGAAGGUCUUCGGAUCGUAAAACUCUGUUAUUAGGGAAGAACAAAUGUGUAAGUAACUAUGCACGUCUUGACGGUACCUAAUCAGAAAGCCACGGCUAACUACGUGCCAGCAGCCGCGGUAAUACGUAGGUGGCAAGCGUUAUCCGGAAUUAUUGGGCGUAAAGCGCGCGUAGGCGGUUUUUUAAGUCUGAUGUGAAAGCCCACGGCUCAACCGUGGAGGGUCAUUGGAAACUGGAAAACUUGAGUGCAGAAGAGGAAAGUGGAAUUCCAUGUGUAGCGGUGAAAUGCGCAGAGAUAUGGAGGAACACCAGUGGCGAAGGCGACUUUCUGGUCUGUAACUGACGCUGAUGUGCGAAAGCGUGGGGAUCAAACAGGAUUAGAUACCCUGGUAGUCCACGCCGUAAACGAUGAGUGCUAAGUGUUAGGGGGUUUCCGCCCCUUAGUGCUGCAGCUAACG
rnacentral:rRNA from 6 species